AACGAAAGGCUAAAAAGGGAAAAGGUUGCGUAGACAAAAAAAGGACCCCCCGCUUCGUCUUCUCCAAAAGACCCCACCCCCUGAUUUCAUCCUCUUCACGCCCUAUCCUAUGAAUAAAAUUCCCCAGCAGCAAGUCCCUAUUCUUUAACAUCCCUCAUUUCUCGCUGCCAUCGCUGAUCGCCGGCGACCAGCCAUGGCCAAAACGACCUCGUUCCUUGUUUUCUUUACCCCGUUUCAUCGCUAACAUUCCGACGACAGCCAUGGAUGAGGAUAUUCGACAAACCAACCUUGUUUCUAUCUAAGGUUAUCACUCUGUCCUUUCGUUCACAUAUAAAAAAAUAAAAAAAUUUCAAUUCUCCUUAGUUUCAGUUUGGCUCCAAAUUUGAAAGAUACACAAGUGUUCCAAUUUUUCACUCUGACUGUUGGUUCCGAAAACAUGGAGAUUAGCCGAGGUCUAUUGACUGCUCGUGAGAUUCAAGUUCGUUAGUUUCGAAUCAAUUUUUACUGCUGUUUUUGCUCGCUUGCUGCUGGAAGUUCGAAUUCCGGCGCCGGAUUUGCUUGUAAUAGUUUCCGAGCAUAAAUAAUUAACACUCUCAUUCAGAUUUUAGUUGCUUUGGCAAAAUUAGAAGUUGAUUAGCUUGCAUAUCCGGAUUGCAUCUCAAUUAGCUCUUCUAAUUUGUCUAUUCAUACGUGUAUUUGUUUGGGUUGAAGUGAAAUUUGUUGCCGCCCAUGCGUUCAUUGUCCUCAGGCAGCUAUUGUUGUUUAUUUACUAUCAACGGUUCCAUUUUUGGAGUCCAAUUUCGGAUCUUCAUCAAUUGUUGUGGUGAAGGAGCUUAUUUUAGUAGUAUGGAGAAGCUUCUUGAAUUAAUGGAAAGCCAGCCUUUUAUAUUGGUGGACUGGAUCACUUAUUCCAUGAUUGCUAAUUUUUAUAUAAAAUCCGAGUUCAAGGAGAAGGCUCUUACUUCCUUGAAAAAAAUUAGAAGAUCGGCUACAUAAAGAUGCAAUAGGUUACAAUCAUUUGAUCUCCCACUAUGCAAAUCUAGGCAAUAAAGAAGAAAUGUAGAGAUUGUGGGGCGUACAAAGAUUGCGUGUACAAAGCAAAUUAACAAGGACUACAUCACGUUGCUAGGUUCCUUGGUUAAGUUUGGUGAUCUAGAGACAGAUGAAGCCCGGCGGUAUAAAGUUUUCUCGUACAGGUGUGGAUUUAUUUACCAGAGUUUGAGCAUGACAGAUAUCCCAGGGCCACUACAUUCAGAAGUUGCUUAAGGAGAUUUUUUUUAUGUCGUCUUUUACUUUCUAGUUUUGUAUAGUAAUGUUGAGUUUUUUAUUACCAUUGUAUUUUCUAUUUUGCAUCUGAAAAAGUGUGUUAUAAAUCAAAAAGCAAAAGAAAAGAAAUGUUGCAUUUUA